CGAGAGGGAGGCGAAUGGAUAAGGACGCCAGGCGAUAGCAGCACAAAUGAGCCUCUUCGCGUCGGUGCCAUCAGCCGCUCGAACAGCUUCAAGCAGCGCACCGAACGGCUGGGCUGAAAAGCCCAGCCAGAAAAAGCCUAGCCGAAGCUUUUCAGCGCUACCGAACGGGCUGUCAGGAUGUUGCUUGAGUAAAUAGUUUACUUGGGAGUACAAGAGUAGAAUCAACCUUAGAGCUUGUUUCUAAUCUGGUCCAUGCGUAUAUUCCAUGUUACAUGGUGAUAUCGGUUGUUCAUUUUGGAGCAGUUCUGUUUUUUUACUCUUCUAUGAGGGUUUACUCUAUGAUAUUACCGUAAGUACCAUAAGGUCUGAAUGUUCCAAGUUCCAACCAUUUAGUCCACCUCUAAUGCAUACACUUCUAUGAGCAAAUUCGUUUUAUGUGCUUACCUUUUCACUUAAUGGUAUAAUGGCUUUUAUGUACUCCCAAUUCAAAAAAUUGAGUCCUCUAAUGGUACAAUUACUUUAUUUUGUUUAUCCCUCCUUUGGCUUCUGUGAUGAGAAUGGACAAAAAAGAUAAAUUAAGGAGAACAGAACAUAUUAUAAAAAAUAUCUUAAUUGGUCAUGGCUAGCCUUUCUGAAUUCAAAAUAUAUCCCAUAUUGCUUGAUAAUGGGUCCUUACUAUCUGGGUCAUCUUUUGGAAGCAUAUGUUAUCUUUACCGUAGCGUUAGCACGGGCAUUACACUAGUCAACUUAUAACAGGUGUGAUGUGGUACUAAAAAAUUUACAAUUGAAAUACAUUUAGAUUGAUAAUCAAUUUAAUUUAUUUAUGAAAAUCUAGGGUGUAAAUCUAAGUGGAUUUUAGUUAGAAAAAGGGUUAAACAUACAUUUAUCAAAUUAAUAUUAAAUUUAAUUUUCAAAAGUGAGAACGUCACUAAACAAUGCUGCUACGAUAGCUGACGCUAACGAAGAUUAACGCAACAAAAACGAACUAAAAACGAACUAAAACGGAGCUACAACGCAAAAGUUAUAACGUUUUAAAGAAAUCAGGGGCCUAAACGUAAUUAACCGAAACUUAUGAGAGUACAGCUCGCGAAAACAGGGUUCUGUAGGGAUUUAUGUGCAAAGCCGCAGGGGUCAGACUGGUUUGCAAAAGGCGGGAUCUUUCUAGGGGCUUCUGCACAAAACGGCCAUCAGAGAGAUGAUGGUGGAUAGGAUUUCCGGGUUCUAUAGGGGCUGUUUACAAAACAUGCGGCUGAGUGGGCCUUUCGCUGACUUGGACGCCUGGUGCACGCCGCAUGGCUGUUUCGGCUGACGUGGUGCUGAUCGCGCUCGCGGACUCAUGAACCAUGCUGACGUGGCCGGUUCAUGGGACCAUGGUGGACCGGUAACAGGCGGGGUGAAGGGGUACACCGGGAUUAAAUCUCGGCGGCCCACUGGCGAUCUAACGGCUGGGAAGCGCCGCUCCUAUGUGGUCGCCGAUGGGCAGAAGAACGCGGCGGCGCUGCCGCGCUGGUGGUCCGCGGCGGCAGCUCGCCGGAGUUGAGGCGUGUGCGCGCUACAGGCAACCAUUUUCGACGUGGUUUGGACGGGGAGGGAGAGGGAAACGGGGCGCUGCUCUCCAAGGUGUUCUAGGCGCCGAUUUCACGGUGUGGAGGAUGCUCGACGGCGCGAGGCGGACGUGGUGGCGGGCGCGUGCGGAGGACGACGUCGGGGCCUCCGGUUCAUGCGUCGGGGGCGUCGGGGUCUUCUUCAAGGAACACUGCGCGUGAAAGGAAACAGGAAGGAUGAUGAGGGACGGCUCGGUCGUGGAGGAAACGAUGGCGGCGGAGCUCCUUACCUCGGUGGGUCUCCGCUCCGCUUCGCCGGCGACAAGGGCAGGCAGGGGGUGGCGUUUGGUUGAGAGGAAAAAGAGGCGUGAUAGGCUCGGUCUCACGGCUUUAUAGGCGAAGGAAAGCUCUGGAGGGGAGGGGAGGGGAGGGGAAUCGGAGGGCGGUCUCCACGGCCGUGAUUGCCGCGGGCGGAGGUCGUGCCUGGCUGCCUGCCGUUUGCGGUCGAGGAAAGGACGGGGACGGGAUUGCGGCCUAGGGGGGAGGAAGAGGCGAGGGCAGGGUGGGCCUGCGUUGCGGGAAUCGCGGCGGGGGUGAGCAGAUUUCGAAUCCUCGCCGCGGUUU
rnacentral:lncRNA from 1 species